rnacentral:rRNA from 1 species
AGUGAGCGGCACAGCUCAAUUUGAAAUCUGGCCCCCAGGGCCCGAGUUGUAAUUUGCAGAGGAUGCUUUUGGCGCGGUGCCUUCCGAGUUCCCUGGAACGGGACGCCAUAGAGGGUGAGAGCCCCGUCUGGUCGGACGCCUAGCCUGUGUAAAGCUCCUUCGACGAGUCGAGUAGUUUGGGAAUGCUGCUCUAAAUGGGAGGUAUAUGUCUUCUAAAGCUAAAUACCGGCCAGAGACCGAUAGCGCACAAGUAGAGUGAUCGAAAGAUGAAAAGCACUUUGAAAAGAGGGUUAAAUAGUACGUGAAAUUGUUGAAAGGGAAGCGCUUGUGACCAGACUUGGGCCCGGUGGAUCAUCCAGCGUUCUCGCUGGUGCACUCCGCCGGGUUCAGGCCAGCAUCAGUUCGCCGCGGGGGAAAAAGGCUUCGGGAACGUGGCUCCUACGGGAGUGUUAUAGCCCGUUGCAUAAUACCCUGGGGCGGACUGAGGUUCGCGCUCCGCAAGGAUGCUGGCGUAAUGGUCAUC